UGAAACUGUCACUUUUGGAAGUCUCCGAGGAGCUGAGCCUGUCUGGAGAAGCACCUGAAGAUGUCAAGAUGUCCAUGUGUCAAAAUGGCCUUACCACGAUAUUGUUCUUACAGCCAACUGGACGUGUUAAUGGGGUAUGUUACAUGAGGAAAUCAAGCAUGAUAAGAACAGCCGGACAUGGUUACUUAUCAGAUGUUUUGUAAUUCUAAAAUGUUGUAAUAGCAGGGCCUUGAACUAUACUGGUUU
rnacentral:lncRNA from 1 species